GUCCACGCCGUAAACGAUGGAUGCUAGCCGUUGGCGGGUUUACCCGUCAGUGGCGCAGCUAACGCAUUAAGCAUCCCGCCUGGGGAGUACGGUCGCAAGAUUAAAACUCAAAGGAAUUGACGGGGCCCGCACAAGCGGUGGAGCAUGUGGUUCAAUUCGAAGCAACGCGCAGAACCUUACCAGCCCUUGACAUGUCCCGUAUGGACUUCAGAGAUGAGGUCCUUCAGUUCGGCUGGCGGGAACACAGGUGCUGCAUGGCUGUCGU
rnacentral:rRNA from 1 species